AGGGAGAACCAACCUCAAAUGAUGAUCACCACUUUUUAGUGAUCCAUUUGACUGUUCAUUCCUAAGGUCGAUCGGUACCUCAGUGAGUGAUAAUCACUCAUCUCGGUCCUUAAGCUUGUCUAGGUCACCACCCCUUAGCUGAUAAGCUUUGUGGGAUGGGCCCGAGAGGGUUCCUGGGCCAUUAGCUCAGGUGGUUAGAGCGCACCCCUGAUAAGGGUGAGGUCCCUGGUUCAAGUCCAGGAUGGCCCAUCGGGAUUGGGGGUUUAGCUCAGCUGGUAGAGCGCCUGCUUUGCAAGCAGGAUGUCAGCGGUUCGAGUCCGCUAACCUCCAUUAGUCUUGAUAAUGGAACUGUGGCGCAGGGUGACUUAGAAGGAUGUUGGUGAUUCCAGCCUCGUUUGAUUCUUGUUUCAAGUUCAAACGAUGCUGGGCUCAGCAAUGGGUUCAGCAAGAACCUUGACAACUGCAUAGGUAAGUCUGGAAAUAAAGCAUCUCACAGAGAUGAUCCAGGCAUGAAGUGAUUCACGUUACGGCGUGAUUUGUUUGAUGUUUGGUUCAACAAUUCUGGAGAAAAGCCGAGUCCUGAUUCAAUUUGAUCAGGAACAAAAU
rnacentral:tRNA from 1 species